AUGCCGCGGCGGGGCGAGACGCAGGAGUUCCGGCCCUUCCGGCGCUGGUUCCCAUUCCUCGUGCCGCUCUUCGUCGCCGCCAACAUCGCCCUCUUCGUCCGCACCAUGUACGUCAACGACUGCCCCGCCCACGCCGCGGCUGCCGCCGCUGCGAUCGGCGGCUCCGUCGGCGGGGCCGCCGGGGCUGCCGCCGCGCACGGUUGCAUGCUCGAGCCGGACCUCGGCAGGUACGCGUUCCAGCCGUACAAGGAGAACCCCCUCGUCGGGCCCACAUCCGCGACGCUGUUGGAAAUGGGGGCACUAGAAACCGGUAAAGUUGCCAGAGAUCACGAAUGGUGGCGCCUCAUCACUUGCAUUUGGUUGCAUGCUGGUGUUAUCCACAUACUUGCCAAUAUGUUGAGUCUCCUGAUGAUUGGGAUCAGGCUUGAGAAGGAAUUUGGUUUCCUGAGGAUCGGCACACUAUAUGUGAUCUCGGGGGUCGGCGGUAGCUUAUUGUCUGCUCUGUUUAUGGUGUCAAAUAUCUCUGUUGGUGCUUCAGGUGCACUGUUUGGAUUACUGGGCUCCAUGCUGUCAGAGCUGAUAACUAACUGGACAAUAUACGAGAAUAAGUGUGCGGCUUUAUUGACUCUUGUUAUGAUCAUUGUUAUCAACUUGGCUGUUGGGAUCCUUCCACAUGUUGACAACUUUGCUCAUAUUGGUGGAUUUGUAUCGGGUUUUUUUCUUGGUUUUGUGCUCCUAAUGCGCCCACAGUUCGGAUACAUCAACCAGAAGAACUCUCGUCUUGGAGUUCACUCGGGCACGCCUAAAUCCAAGUACAAGAUAUAUCAAAUUGUACUCUUGGUGAUUGCUUUGGUGAUAUUAAUUUGUGGGUUCAUCACUGGCUUUGUAUUGCUAAUGCAAGGGUUCGAUGCUAGCCAGCAAUGUUCUUGGUGCCAUUAUCUGAGCUGUGUUCCUACUUCACAGUGGGACUGUAAUAAAGCACCGAGCAACUAUUGCCUCUCUUCACAGCUUGGAGACCAACUAAACCUGACAUGUCAAAGCACUGGGAAGACAGAAACGUACGUUAUCAGCAGCCCAAGCAACCCGGAGGCGGUUAAGCACCUUUGUCUCGGCCUUUGCAGCUGA
rnacentral:rRNA from 1 species